UCCUGGUUAACCCAGGCAGUCUCGUUAGAGUGCCCGCCAUUACGCGAUGGCAACUAACGACAAGGGUUGCGCUCGUUGCGGGACUUAACCCAACACCUCACGGCACGAGCUGACGACAGCCAUGCAGCACCUGUGCACCUGUCUCUUGCGAGAAGACUUCAUUUCUGAAGCUGUCAGGUGCAUGUCAAGACCAGGUAAGGUUCUUCGCGUUGCAUCGAAUUAAACCACAUGCUCCACUGCUUGUGCGGGUCCCCGUCAAUUCUUUUGAGUUUCACCCUUGCGAGCGUACUCCCCAGGCGGUAUACUUAACGCGUUAGCUCCGGCACAGUCGGGGUUGAGACCGACUACGCCAAGUAUACAUAGUUUAAGGCAAGGACUAC
rnacentral:misc_RNA from 1 species